rnacentral:tRNA from 1 species
AGCUCCGAGGUGUUAACAUAUUAGAUUGCAAAUCUUAAGAAGCAGGAUAACCCCCUGCCGGGGCUU